ACAGGCUCCAUUUAGUAGCUGUUAUGGUGCUUUCAGUCAAGUCACAUGAUGCUCAUCAGCAAAUGGAGUUUGCCCAUUUGCCACGGAGCUGACUGUUUUCUAAACUGCUGUUUCCGAGGAAAAGAAAUUCAUUUGGAACCUCAGCUUUUAAGCCACCAUUUACAAGAAGUGCUCAGGAGAGUUUAGCAUCUACAAUUCCAUGACAACUGGAAAUCUGCUGAUGAAGAUCAUGUGACAUGACCUAAAGCUCCAGAACAGCUACUGAAUAGACUUAGUGUUCCAGACCUCAAUGAACCCGUCCACCGAUCCAGUGAUUAAGUACUUGCCAUCAGGAGAGAAGCGGGCACACUCCACAUGCGACCGCCGUCCAAACUGCAGGCAACCCCAGGGAGGUAUUAAGUUUUCCCACCAUGCUGCAGUCUAAAGUUGUGUGGGCUGACCAUUCUCACUCAAAACCCUGGGCAGAGGAAAAGCAAGGACAAACAAUUCAGCUAUCUCCAUCUGGAUGCAAGUCAGAUAGAGACUAAGACAAGUGCCUUCAGACGUUUCAAUGGCCAUUUCGGGGGAGAGAUGACCCGGCGACUGCUCUAGUCUCAUAGACUGCGUGGAACAGGGAUGGGGAACAGUCAGCAGAAAACAUAAAGUAGUUUUUGCCUUUUAACUUCUUCAUUGUCACGAUCUCAACAAAAUCAAGUGUUGGAAUACUAAAAAAUGCUAACUUGAAGAUUCAAAGUAGUUGAUUUUUUAAAUAAAGUGUUGCUUAUCCCGUAAUGUAAUGCAAGGGGGAAAAUAAGCUUGAAAACUGCACA